AUUGAACGCUGGCGGCAGGCCUAACACAUGCAAGUCGAACGGUUGGCGGACGGGUGAGUAAGGUAUGGGAAACUGCCCGACGGAGGGGGAUAACUUCAGGAAACGGUAGCUAAUACAGCACACCAUCAGAUGUGCCCAGAUGGGAUUAGCUUGUAGGUGGGGUGACGGCUCACCAAGCCGACGAUCCCUAGCUGGUCUGAGAGGAUGACCAGCCACCCUGGAACGGAGACGCGGUCCAGACUCCUCCGGGAGGCGACGGUGGAGAAUGUUGCACAGUGGACGCAGGCCUGAUGCAGCCAUGCCGCGUAUAUGAAAGAGGCCUUGGGGUUGUAGAUUACUAUCGGCGGGAAGGCGGUACCCGAAGAAGAAGCACCGGCUAACUCCGUGCCAGCCGCCGCGGUAAUAC
rnacentral:rRNA from 1 species